rnacentral:rRNA from 1 species
GACGAACGCUGGCGGCGUGCCUAACACAUGCAAGUCGAGCGGAGGUACAAUGAGAGCAAUCGAGAUGUACUUUAGCGGCGGACGGGUGAGUAACGCGUGAGCAACCUGCCUAUCACAGGGGGAUAAGGCGGCGAAAGCCGCUCUAAUACCGCAGGGUGAGACCCUCAAAGCGAUGCAAUGGGGGUGAAAGGAGCGAUCCGGUGAGAGAUGGGCUCGCGUCCGAUUAGGUAGUUGGUAGGGUAAGGGCCUACCAAGCCAAUGAUCGGUAGCCGGCCUGAGAGGGUGAACGGCCACAUUGGAACUGAGAGACGGUCCAAACUCCUACGGGAGGCAGCAGUGGGGAAUAUUGGGCAAUGGGCGGAAGCCUGACCCAGCAACGCCGCGUGAGGGAAGAAGGUUUUCGGAUUGUAAACCUCUGUUCUUGGGGAAGAGGAGGAGACGGUACCCAAGGAGGAAGCCCCGGCUAACUACGUG